CCUACGGGAGGCUGCAGUGGGGAAUCUUGGGCAAUGGGCGCAAGCCUGACCCAGCAACGCCGCGUGAAGGAAGAAGGCUUUCGGGUUGUAAACUUCUUUUGUCAGGGAAGAGUAGAAGACGGUACCUGACGAAUAAGCCACGGCUAAAUACUUGGCAGCAGCCGCGGUUAUACGUAGGUGGCAAGCGUUGUCCGGAUUUACUGGGUGUAAAGGGCGUGUAGCCGGGUUGACAAGUCAGAUGUGAAAUCCUGCGGCUUAACCGCAGAACUGCAUUUGAAACUGUUGAUCUUGAGUACUGGAGAGGCAGAUGGAAUUCCUAGUGUAGCGGUGAAAUGCGUAGAUAUUAGGAGGAACACCAGUGGCGAAGGCGGUCCGCUGGACAGCAACUGACGGUGAGGCGCGAAAGCGUGGGGAGCAAACAGGAUUAGAUACCCUUGUAGUC
rnacentral:rRNA from 1 species